rnacentral:tRNA from 1 species
GGGGUUGUGACUUAGAGGUAGAGCACUUGCCUAGUGCGUGAGAGGCCCUGGGUUUGAUCCUCAGCACCACA